GAUGAACGCUGGCGGCGUGCCUAAUACAUGCAAGUCGAGCGAACAGAUGAGGAGCUUGCUCCUCUGACGUUAGCGGCGGACGGGUGAGUAACACGUGGAUAACCUACCUAUAAGACUGGGAUAACUUCGGGAAACCGGAGCUAAUACCGGAUAAUAUAUUGAACCGCAUGGUUCAAUAGUGAAAGACGGUUUUGCUGUCACUUAUAGAUGGAUCCGCGCCGCAUUAGCUAGUUGGUAAGGUAACGGCUUACCAAGGCAACGAUGCGUAGCCGACCUGAGAGGGUGAUCGGCCACACUGGAACUGAGACACGGUCCAGACUCCUACGGGAGGCAGCAGUAGGGAAUCUUCCGCAAUGGGCGAAAGCUUGACGGAGCAACGCCACGUGAGUGAUGAAGGUCUUCGGAUCGUAAAACUCUGUUAUUAGGGAAGAACAAAUGUGUAAGUAACUAUGCACGUCUUGACGGUACCUAAUCAGAAAGCCACGGCUAACUACGUG
rnacentral:rRNA from 1 species